AAUCGAGUGAGAGAGAAAAGAGAAGAUCUAUCGAGCGAGGAAACCAAGAGGAAGAGAGAAAGAGAGGAAAGGAAGAGGGAGGCUAGAGAAGAGGAAAUGAGAGGAAGAGAAGAGUAGUUGAGCAGAAGAGUAAAGGGGUAGUCGAGAACGGCCACCACAAAGGAAAGAAAGAAGAAAAAAAAUGGCAGAUGCGAGAGAGUGGUGAAGCCGAAGCUGAAAGGAAGAAG
rnacentral:lncRNA from 1 species